rnacentral:rRNA from 1 species
CACGUAGGAGGCGAGCGUUGUCCGGAAUCAUUGGGCGUAAAGAGCGCGCAGGCGGCUUGGCAAGUCGGGUGUGAAAUCCCGGGGCUCAACCCCGUGACUGCAUCCGAUACUGUCAGGCUAGAGGUAGGUAGGGGAGAUCGGAAUUCCUGGUGUAGCGGUGAAAUGCGCAGAUAUCAGGAGGAACACCGGUGGCGAAGGCGGCAUCCUGGACCGGCAUUGACGCUGAGGAGCGAAAGCCAGGGGAGCAAACGGG